UCUGGUCACGGUGCUGCAGCCUGGGCUGGAUGGGCAGCAGAGCCAGGGGGAACACAAGAGUGGAAGACAGGGCCUGGUGAGAGGACAGGGGGCUCAGCAGAUCCAGCUGGGAAGGAGCAGGGUACUGGAACACCCAGCAUGUCCCCAAAGCCUCUCUGAGCACCUGCCACCAGUGAGACCUCUGACCUCUCUGCCCUCAGCCCCAAGCACUGUACUGGGCCUUGCCCUUUUUCUGUGCCAGGUGAUCUGACUCCAAGCUGAUUUGCAAAGAAGGGUUGGGAAUCCUGUAACAUUCUAGCCCUGGGAGCUGCAGGCUCAGGGGCUCAACCAGGACUUUUACUUCAAAAUAUAUAUAUAUAUAUGGGGUUCUUUAUUAUCUCAAGACAGUGUGAAGAGAAUAAGCCACAGACUUGUUCCCAAGAGGUACUUUUAUUAAUUUAGGAGAGAAAAUAAGGGAACUUGUCAAAAGUUCAAAAGGGCACUACACAAGCUAGACAAAAAGUUCCACCACAAUACCAACCCAGCACAUACUAAUCCACAACACUAAGUCAAGAUCCAGUCACUCCACAACACUUGACGGAAAUCCAAUCCCUGCAGCUCCAAGCCACCCAGAGCAUCAAAGAGCAAAGAAAGAAAAGCAGAGGGAGCAAGAGGAGAGAAGGAGCAAGAGGGAGAGAGAUCAUAUUGAGACAAAAGGCAAAAUGGAGCUCCUGUGCUCCUUUAUUUUUAUGGUCUGGCCAGUGUGGCCACCCAUCCCAGGUGGGACAUCUGAUUCUGUGACUGGGGUGAUUUAUUCUCUGGCUGCCAGGGGUAAGGAGUAAGGUUUGACAUUGGUUACAAGGGAAGGAGGAAGCAGGGAGGCAGCGCCUAGAAAACAAAUGAUGGGUUUCCUUCCGAAAAGCUCUUAUUUUCUUCUUUAUUGUGCAUCUAAGACCUUCCCAUUAGGAGGUCCAGCCCCAGUAAAUUAGUAGGAAAUUCCCACAAAACAGUUAGGGUUUCAAUCACUUUCUCCUCCCUCGGUAACCAGCAUCUUACCUUGACUGUUAUUUAGGGUUGGGUGUAUCCAAAUGCAUCAACAACAUGUGAGGGAACAAUUCCACCUGCAGAAGUGUCUUCAACUUUGAGGGUGGAUAUGUGAGCUCCGAUGUCUAUUUAAAAGGUUACAGGGACUUUGUGGGGACCAACAGGGCAGGUUAUUAGUAAAUCUCCUUUAGAGAUUUUGGUAAGCUGCCAGAAAAAAAACACUCUCUGUCCCCCGGCUUUCCUACUGAGGACAAAGGAAGGGGUUUCCCACCUCCUCCCCUUUGUGGUGCCUCUAAAGGUGGGACUGUAACAGGGACAACAGCUUUUGUGGGUUCUUCUUUCAGCUACCCACUAAUAUCUCUGAUUUAUCCGUGCAUUUGCUGACCAUUAGGGUUUUUGGGAUUCCUUUUUGCAAGUCUAAAAUCCAAAGAGCGUUUCUUUUUCUCCAGUGUUCUUCAUUUGUGUGGAUGCGUCCUCCUUGCCUGAGGGAGAAUGUUACUUUUCUGAGUCCCAUGGGGGAUGUAGGUGUUUUACAUUCUGUGUGCUGAAUUAGUUUGGAGCCAAUUUUGCUAGGGACAAUUGGGCUGUAUUGUCUUCCAUAAUUAAUUAAUGUGUCACUUCCCCUCAAGUCCAGGUUUUAUGUUCACUGUGGUUGUGGUUGGGGGUUACCACUUCCUCUAAGGCGGCUACAGUUCUUCCCCACCAGCAAGACUUCCUAUUUGUCCCUUUAGCUGGAUGCCCAUGGGUUUCAAGGAUUCAGGGAGACCUCUAAUGAGGGGCGUCAUUCUCUCAGGGUCCACAGGCAUCGUCACUGGGCAUUUGUGUCAUGGCGUUAACUCUCUGUCAUGGCAUCAUUUGUAAGCAGGCAGCUUUUUGUACACUCUCCAUAAUUUGAUCAACAUUCCCCACUAUUGCCAGGGGGUCUCCCCUUUCCAGGGGAUUAAGUCUGCCAGCCUAGGACUCUGCUCUCUGUGUGAGAGACCAGGGAGUUUAGUUGUUUCCUGUGGUCAGGAAGACCCCCAGUCCCCAGUAUCCUUCUCCUUCUUUUUCUGGUAAUAAUCUGCAAUAGAUUUGAAAUGUCUAAGCCCUUCUCUUUAAGUGGAAACAUGACUCUUUAUUGAGAAUAUUAAUUUAUAACUGAUGAUUAUUUACCGUAUGUAAUCAGGAUCACUUGUUAUUUUCUUCUCUUACACUAGUAAGAUGGCUGUUUGAAUGUAAAAGAAGUCAGUUGUUUAUGAUGGAGCCCUCUGUUUCAAUAGUGGUGAAGAAAUACGAAGUUGUAUUUCUCAGAUUUGCUCAGAAAAGCCUGGAAACUAGAAAUACACUUUUACAAUACUGAAUUGUAGCUUUUUGAAUCUGAAGAGUUAGACCUCUUUGACUGAAUAAAUCAGGCAUACAUGGCAGGUAGGUGCAUUGGACAACACCUGGGAGGGACAAAUUCCCUCAUGCUCUGCUCUCUAGCUCUCUGUACCCCCCUGGUUCCUCCCAGGGGGGUCUCUGUCUCAGUCUCGCAGGUCUUCUCCUCUCUCUCCUUCCCAUCCAAACCAUUUUAUUUUUCUAUUAGUUUUUAAUGUCAAAUCUGUCCUCCUUGAUCAACCUGUGAUAGUAAAGAACAAUUUCUCACACCAUUUGCAGCCUGUGUUUUGAAUUCCUCAUAGGGGCGUCAGAGUUAGAAAAUAGAAGUUACAAUACAUUACAGCCCUCUGUGUUUGUACUUUGUGUACUAUUUUUAAUGCUUAAUCCAAGGCUAUUAUCUGACUAAAAAGGGGAAAUGCCUUGCUUUUGGCAACUCAGCUUGUCAUCUUUCUCAAAAUUAGAGCUUUAGGCAUUCAAGAGAGGCUUGAAAGAAUUGUCCUGUUUACAGAAUUAUUUCCCACAGUACCAGACAGUAAUCACACAAGUUCAGCUGAUUUUUCUGCAAAGCCUUUGAUAAACUAUUUUCUAAAAGAGGGAAAAUAAAAUGCAUUAAUUGGUGGACCAGCACAGGCAAGUGUCCUGGUUUUAGCUGGGACAGAGAUAAUUUUCUUUUUAGUAGCUGGUACACUGCUGUGUUUUGUGGUGAGCAGCCACACUGUACAUCACUGUUAUCUCCUGGUUAUUUGCUGCAGUCAUCAUAAAAAGAAGACUCGACAACCCGUGGGUUCAACCAGAGUGAUACAGCUUGGGGCUAUCUCCCUUUAUUGAAGGUGUCUAGCUCUAUUUAUAGGGUAAGGUGGGAAGGUUCUGGAAAACAGGAAGGAGCAUAGGAUUGACAGGGGUGAUAACCAACCAGGGAAGGAAGGAGGGAACAUGAGAUCAGGAGGGACCAAUGAGAGAAACAUCUGCAGUGCAGCAAAUGUGAACCAAUAGAAAAAAGGGCAUAAUUCUGAGGGGAAAAAUAUGAAAUUUGAUAAAAACUGGGGUACAACAAAUAGCGAACAUGCAUUAACAAUUCUAAUUAAUAACAGUCUCUGUCUUAACCGCAUCAUGUUAUAUAUCUUCAAAUCAUAUCUUCAUUCGUCGCUGUUCUCAGCCAUAACUUCUUGCAGCCGUCUUUUUCCAUUCAAUAAACUUUUCUUCCUCACUUUCUGUGCCCUCCGCAUUUAUUUUUUUCUCCCUCUUUUUCAGUACAAUUAUUAGUUUUAGUAGUAGUAAUUUAUGCAGUAGUAGUAAUUUAUUUUGUGUCAGUUAAUAAACACUUCUUAUUUCAAUCCACAGAGUUUCCUCACUGGAGGAGUGAGUGGCUGUGUGGUACUUAGUUGCCAGCUGGGGUCAAACCAUGACAGCAAGAAUGACAUUUUCUAUAUUUCCCACUCAAGAUCCAUCAUAAGCAGAUGAAAAACAAAGGAAAAAAAAUUCCAAAGCAUUUCCCACCUUUCAUUAGAAAUGUUAUCGUAUUAACCUACAGAUUGUAUUGCAGCCCAGAUGUCAUGGCAAUCCAUGUGCUAAGCCAGAGAGCAGACUGUUUAGGAAGGAGUUACAGCCUCAUUGGGAAAAAAGGCUCUUCUGGAAAGAUGGUCUCCAUCCACAUGAGUAACGGACUAAGCUAAACUUCAACGAGGAACUGUUUUUUACUUUUCUUCUGCAUUCUUAUUAUCAUUCUGAACAAAAACACCAUAAUUUUUUUGUCCCAAUUAACAAAUUAGGUUAAACUGUUAUGUAUUAGGUAAUCACCUCCUGAUAGACAUCAGUAUGACAUGAAUUCUUACUUUAAUUCUCUCCCUCUGCCCAGAGGUCCCUUAAAUGGACAAAAUAAAGGCCAUUUGGCAAAAAAUACAAAAUAAAUGUACACAUAGUAGAAUAUUUUUGCAGUUACAAGCUGGUUCACUAGAAACACAGACACACAGAGUAAAAAUGGAGACAGAAGUUAAUGAAGAAUGGGAGAUACAUGUGUCACAUUAUUAGCAAUGCAAAAGACCAGCUUAAGCAUGUGUUUCCCUACAUCAACUAUAAAAAAGAAAAGGUGCCUUUUUAGCAAGUAUGCACAGAGUUUGCUUUGUUAUUUCUAAGAAAAAAAAUCAGAACACUUCACUAUUUUUAUUCUAUAUUACAGUCAUUAUUACUACCUGUUUAUAAAAUGUAAACCCUUCCUUGCAGUUAAGAUUUACAGAAGUCAUCACCUUUGUCCACUCCUUACAUAAUCAGUCCAUGGAGACAAAAAUAAACUGAUUUAUUUUACAUAU